rnacentral:rRNA from 1 species
UAUGUGAUCGUCUCUCGCAUAUCAAUAAGCGGAGGAAAAGAAAAUAACAAUGAUUUCCCUAGUAACGGCGAGUGAAGAGGAAAGAGCUCAAAGUUGGAAACUGUUUGGCUUAGCUAAACCGUAUUGUAAACUGUAGAAACAUUUUCCUGGCACGCCGGAUUAAUAAGUCCUUUGGAACAAGGCAUCAUGGAGGGUGAGAAUCCCGUCUUUGAUCCGAGUAGUUGUCUUUUGUGAUAUGUUUUCAAAGAGUCAGGUUGUUUGGGAAUGCAGCCUAAAUUGGGUGGUAAAUCUCACCUAAAGCUAAAUAUUUGCGAGAGACCGAUAGCGAACAAGUACCGUGAGGGAAAGAUGAAAAGAACUUUGAAAAGAGAGUUAAACAGUACGUGAAAUUGUCAAAAGGGAAGCGUUUGACACCAGUGUUGUUUUUCUGAAAAUCAAUUAAAGAACUGUCUAUGCUAAGUUGUUUAGACUUUAUCAGCUAACUGUUUAGUUUUGAGCUUUUCUUUAAUGCACUUUUCAGUUAACAAGUCAACAUCAAUUUCUUUUGCUGUAAAAAAGCUUGAGGAAGGUGGCUUGAGAUUCGUCUUAAGUGUUUAUAGCCUCUUGCCUAUGCAGUCGGAGAGAUUGAGGUCUGCAGCGUAGAUCCUUCGGGGCUAAAUGCAUUUGUGCUAAGUUAUAGCAUUUUAUAGACAACUUGUUGACUAUGAUUUGUCUUGUAGCUUACUCGCUUAUGUUAUUUUACCUACGCUUAGGAUGUUGAAGUCAUCGUAUCGCGC